rnacentral:rRNA from 1 species
UACGUAGGGCGCAAGCGUUAUCCGGAAUUAUUGGGCGUAAAGAGCUCGUAGGCGGUUUGUCGCGUCUGCCGUGAAAGUCCGGGGCUCAACUCCGGAUCUGCGGUGGGUACGGGCAGACUAGAGUGAUGUAGGGAGACUGGAAUUCCUGGUGUAGCGGUGAAAUGCGCAGAUAUCAGGAGGAACACCGAUGGCGAAGGCAGAUCUCUGGGCCGUAACUGACGCUGAGGAGCGAAAGCAUGGGGAGCGAACAGG